rnacentral:tRNA from 1 species
GGGGAUAUAGCUGAAUCAGUAAAGUGCUUGCUUUGUAUGCACAAGGCCCUGGGUUCAAUUCCCAGCACUA